rnacentral:rRNA from 1 species
UCAGGAUUAACGCUGGCGGCAUGCCUAAUACAUGCAAGUCGAAUGGUUAGCUUGCUAACCAUGGCGAACGGGUGAGUAACACGUAGGUAACCUGUCUUCAAGACGAGGAUAACCAUUGGAAACGAUGGAUAAUACUGGAUAGGACAAAUCCCCGCAUGAGGAGAUGUUUAAAGGAGCAAUCCACUUGAUGAGGGGCCUGCGGUGCAUUAGCUAGUUGGUGAGGUAAAGGCCCACCAAGGCGAUGAUGCAUAGCCGGACUGAGAGGUUGAACGGCCACAAUGGAACUGAGAACGGUCCAUACUCCUACGGGAGGCAGCAGUAGGGAAUUUUCGGCAAUGGGCGGAAGCCCUGACCGAGCAAUGCCGCGUGAACGAUGAAGUAUUUCGGUAUGUAAAGUUCUUUUAUUUGGGAAGAAAAAACAAAUUGACGGUACCAAAUGAAUAAGCUCCGGCUAACUACGUGCCAGCCGCGGC